UACAGAGGGGGCAAGCGUUGCUCGGAAUUACUGGGCGUAAAGGGCGCGUAGGCGGCCCGCUAAGUCGAACGUGAAAUCCCCGAGCUCAACUCGGGAACUGCGUCCGAUACUGGCGGGCUUGAAUCCGGGAGAGGGAUGCGGAAUUCCAGGUGUAGCGGUGAAAUGCGUAGAUAUCUGGAGGAACACCGGUGGCGAAGGCGGCAUCCUGGACCGGCAUUGACGCUGAGGCGCGAAAGCGUGGGGAGCGAUCCGG
rnacentral:rRNA from 1 species